rnacentral:lncRNA from 1 species
AGGGAAACCGGCUCAGGGAAGUUGUGCUGCCCACAGAGGCUCAGGCCUGCGGUUUGCGUUCUUAUCCGAAGGUUCCACUCGCUGCCUCCCGGAGCCUGCUCUGUCUGGAGACCCAGGCUGUUCUCGGACUUGAUCUCUGCAGAUUAGGAGAAAACUUGGGUAAACCAAUGAGCUAGAGUCGAGGGCCAGCUAGUUAUGCAUAGGGAAGAACGGAUGACCUCUCUUAACCUAUUUGGAACCCGGCCUUUGGGAACAGGACUGUGAAAAGCCAGGACGACUUGGAUUUGAUAGCCAGAGAAAGGGGGGAAUUUUCACCGUUCGCCAAGGUCCCUUGUCGCUAGUCUGAAUUGUUAUGCACUGCGAUUUAUUCUGGCUUUUUAAACUAGGAUGAUGAGAUGGCUCAGCGCUCUUACAACCAAGGUUCCGACCCCGGGAACUCACGUUGUAAAAAGAGAGAGCUGAAUCCCACAAUUUGUCUUCUGACCUGUGACCGGCAGCAUGUGCGUGCCCAUACAUAUCCACACACAAAAUAACUGUUUAUUUGUUUGUUUAACUUUAACUCCUAUUUUAUAGCAAUGUUGGUAGACAGAGCUGCAGCAUACUAGAUACAAAGAAGGAGUUAAGAGACAGGCUUAUUUUCCUGGAUCUGUAGGUGAUUAAAAGUCACUGAAGUGUUAAAUUCUUAGAUUUCCCAUGCUUUGCUGACCCCUUUUGGGGCUCCUCAAGUUAAAUCCACUACUACAUAAU